AAUGGAACCCGAUGCUGUCAUUACCUUGUACAAGGAAUAUAGUGGGUAUCCCAUUCCUAUUAUGCCUUCGUGACUGCGACUGAACCAGAAGGAUGCAUACUAAGCUGCAUUACUAGUUUUUAAUUUGUCGACAGAGUGGAGCCAAAGUGAGACAGUGGAAACGGACUGCACAAUACCCAGCAGUGGACACUGAUUCAAGAAGAGGACAGUAAAGAGCUUACCACCCUGCAAUCUCUUAACACCCAGAGUUGCUGAGUUCCUACUCUGGAGGUCUGAAGACGGUUGUCAGGGGAGCCAGCAAUCGCGGUGGGACAAUAAUUUCUAGAGGGAAGGAUGGAGUGGUCUAGCCUCGUACGAACCAUCCUGAUAGCCGUGUAGCGAAACAGAAUGUAAGCUCGUGAGAUCAGGAUGGUUCGUACGCGGCUUGGAGUGUCCUGGGUGUGUCAGUCACAGUUUGCCUCAAUUCAUUCACCUACUCUGAUACAAUACGUAAAGGUUUGCUUUUACUUUUAUAUUGUCUGUUCGUUUUCAGAUAUGGAGCAACUAUGGCAUGAGAAAAAUGAUCAAUCUCACUGAUCUUGAGUGAUUUGAAUGACUACCCCACAAAGUGCAAAGAACCUUGGGGUGACCCUGGACAACACCCUGUUGUUCUCUGCAAACAUCAAAGCAGUGACUCGUUCCUGCAGGUUUGUACUCUGCAACAUCCAUAGAGUACGACCCUUCCUCAUAGGAAGUGGCGCAGGUCCUAAUCCAGGAACUUGUCAUCUCCUGUCUGGACUUCUGCAACUCACUGUUGGCUGGGCUCCCUGCUUGAGCCAUCAAACCCCUGCAACUUAUCCAGAAUGCUGCAGCCUGCCUGGUCGAAGCUCGCAUCCGCUCCAAGACCAUGGUGCUUGCGUUCGGAGCAGCUAGAGGAACCCUACACCCUACAGGAAAACCCUACACCCCAACCCAAGCACUUUGUUCUGCCACCUCAAAUCAAAUUGUAUUGGUCACACACAUGGUUAGCAGAUGUUAUUGCGAGUGUAGCGAAAUGCUUAUGCUUCUAGAUCCGACAGUUCAGCAGUAUCUAAUGCAGUGGAAGUAGGAAGUUUACAUACACUUAGGAUGGAGUCAUUAAAACUCGUUUUUCAACCACUCCACAAAUUUCUUGUUAACAAACUAUAUUUUUGGCAAGUCGGUUAGGGCAUCUACUUUCUGCAUGACACAAGUAAUUUUUCCAACAAUUGUUUACAGACAGAUUAAUUCCCUAUCACAAUUCCAGUGGGUCGGAAGCUGUGCCUUUUAAACAGCUUGGAAAAUUCCAGAAAAUUAUGUCUUGGCUUUAUAAGCUUCUGAUAGGGUAAUUGACAUAUUUUGAGUCAAUUGGAGGUGUACCUGUGGAUGUAUUUCAAGGCCUACCUUCAAACUCGGUGCCUCUUUGCUUGACAUCAUGGGAAAAUCAAAAGAAAUCAGCCAAGACCUCAGAAAAAACAUUGUAGACCUCCACAAGUCUGAUUCAUCCUUGGGAGCAAUUUUCAAAAUCCGGAAGGUACCACGUUCAUCUGUACAAACAAUAGUACGCAAGUAUAAACACCAUGGGACCACGCAGCUGUCAUACCGCUCAGGAAGGAGACACGUUCUGUCUCCUAGAGAUGAACGUACUUUGGUGCGAAAAGUGCAAAUCAAUCCCAGAACAACAGCAAAGGACCUUGUGAAGAUGCUGGAGGAAACAGGUACAAAAGUAUCUAUAUACACAGUAAAACUAAUCCUAUAUCGACACAACCUGAAUGGCUGCUCAGCAAGGAAGAAGCCACUGCUCCAAAACCGCCAUAAAAACGCCAGACUAUGGUUUGCAACUGCACAUGGGGACAAAGAUCGUACGUUUUGGAGAAAUGUCCUCUGGUCUGAUGAAACAAAAAUAGAACUGUGUGUCCAUAAUGACCAUCAUUAUGUUUGAAGGAAAAAAGGGGAGGCUUGCAAGCCGUAGAACACCAUCCCAACCGGGAAACACUGGGUGGCAGCAUCAUGUUGUGAGGGUGCUUUGCUGCAGGAGGGACUGGUGCAAAAUAGAUGGCAUCAUGAGGAAGGGAAAUUAUGUGGAUAUAUUGAAGCAACGUCUCAAGACAUCAGUCAGGAAGUUAAAGCUUGGCCGCAAAUGGGUCUUCCAAAUGGACAAUGACCCGAAGCAUACUUCCAAAGUUGUGGCAAAAUGGCUUCAGGACAACAAAGUCAAGGUAUUGGAGUGGCCAUCAGAAAGCCCUGACUUCAAUCCUAUUGAAAAUUUGUGGGCAGAACUGAAAAGGCGUGUGCGAGCAAGGAGGUCUACGAACCUGACUCAGUUCCACCAGCUCUGCCAGGAGGAAUGGGCCAAAAUUCACCCAACUUAUUGUGGGAAGCUUGUUGAAUGCUACAUGAAAUGUUUGACCCAAUUUAAAGGCAAUGCUACCAAAUACUAAUUGAGUGCAUGUAAACUUCUGACCCACUGGGAAUGUGAUGAAAUAAAUAAAAGCUGAAAUAAAUAAUUCUCUACUAUUAUUCUGACAUUGUAUUUAAAAUAAAGUGGUGAUCCUAACAGACCUAAGACAGGGAAUUAAAUGUCCGGAAUUGUGAAACUGAGUUUAAAUGUAUUUGGCUAACGUGUAUGUAAACUUUCAACUGAAUUUCAACUGAAGGUAAUAUCUAACAAUUCCACAGCAAAACCUAAUACACACAAUCUAGUAAAGGAAUGGGAUAAGAAUAUAUAAAAUAUAUAGAGGAGCAGUGACAGAACGGCUAAGAUGCAGUAGAUACUAUAGAAUAGAAAGUGUAGGAUACAGUAUAUACAUAUGAGAUGAGUAAACAUUUUUAAAGUGGCAUCAUUAAAGUGACUAGUGUUCCAUUUAUUAAAGUGAUAAAAUAAUUUAUAUGCUUAAAGAUAAUGGUUAAAUAAUUCUACCCAGAAACUUAACCAUUAGGGAUUAUAGUUAUGUAGCAUGUAUAAGGAAUAAUUAAAGUAUUAAACAUAAGUCCAACUAGGUUGGACUGGGAGGGAGAUAAAUGUGUGUGUGUGCCUAGGAAAGUACCGAGAACAAUUAAACUGUGUUUGAACCGACCUGGCUAGAACUCUGAGAAACUUAUGAUAGGACAGGGAGUACUUCUCAAGGUAUCUCUAAUCUUGGGGGAAUGGAACUGUCGGUUGGGUAGUGAUACACAGUGGUGAGAACUCUGGAGAAGGAUACAACUCACCUACUGUUCGUGUGUAUGAAUGUGCGUAGGAUAUCUACUGUUUGUGUGAAAGUAUGUGCGUAAUUAAGGAACAUGGUAAAAAAUGGAUGUCUUUGUA